rnacentral:rRNA from 1 species
AUUCUAUAACAUACAACUUUGUCAGAAUAAUACGAACUCCUGUUUAAAAUUCAAAGAACUUGGCGGUGUCUAAUCAAAACAGGGGAACCUGUCCUUUAAUUCGAUAAUCCACGCCACCACCACCACUUCUCACCAAGCCUGUGUACUGCCGUCGUCAGCUCACCUCUAAAAGCGUGUGCAAAUAAUAUUUCUAUUUCACGUCAGGUCAAAGUGCAGCUAAUGAAGUGGAAGAGAUGGGUUACAAUCCUUAAAUAGAAACAGAUUCUAUAACCACACUUAUAGAUAAAGGUGGACUUGUCAGUAAUAACCACACAUGUCGUUAUGAACGUGAAUCU